rnacentral:rRNA from 1 species
UGAGGAAUAUUGGUCAAUGGGGGCAACCCUGAACCAGCCAAGUCGCGUGAAGGAUGAAGGUCUUAUGGAUUGUAAACUUCUUUUACACGGGAAUAAAGCGGGGGACGUGUCCCUCUUUGCAUGUACCGUGUGAAUAAGGAUCGGCUAACUCCGUGCCAGCAGCCGCGGUAAUACGGAGGAUCCGAGCGUUAUCCGGAUUUAUUGGGUUUAAAGGGUGCGCAGGCGGGAUGUUAAGUCGGCGGUGAAAUUUUGCAGCUCAACUGUAAAAGUGCCUUCGAUACUGGCCUUCUUGGAUGUGGAUGAAGUAGGCGUAAUUUGUGGUGUAGCGGUGAAAUGCUUAGAUAUCACGAGGAACUCCGAUUGCGCAGGCAGCUUACUAAGCCGCAACUGACGCUCAUGCACGAAGGCGUGGGGAUCAAACA